UGUCGUCCGGGCUGGUCGGCUCCUCGAUCCAGGCGAGGUCGAACGGGCGCAGCCGCUCGAUCCAGGCGAUCGCGUCGCCGACGUCCC
rnacentral:tRNA from 1 species